AGAAUGUCAUGCACAAGCAGAGGAACUGGGAAAGGAGGCUGGAGGUGAAAAAAGAGCAAAAGAAAAGAGCAAAAACAGAGAAAGAAGCUAAACAGACAACAUUAAGGUGAUCUGGCUUUUGACGUGUUACCUGGCAGACAUGAGAGAGCAGAGCCAGGGGCAGGGAUUUGGUGCAAUGAACAAUGCCAGCCAUCACGACUUGCCAAGAAAGAAAUUUGUGGUUUAUGCUUUAUGCAUGUGAGACAGGGGCAGCUGCAGCCUGGAGCAAUGAGCGUGUCAAAAGGUAGGGGCGUGUCAAAAGGUUUCUCAUUGGUGAAAAGAGUUUUACUGUGCUGGCCAAUCAGCAGUAAAUAUACAUUUACGUAAUUUCCUUAGACAAGGUGGCGGCGAUAAGACGUGAGCUAAUUAUUCAUUGUUUAUACGUUUAUCAAUACUUUAUAUACCACAAAUAUGUAUAUUAAGAUAAGUUUCUUACAAUACGAUCAUUAUUUUUCCUUUGCGUUAUAUCUUGCAGCUUUAGUAAUUAGUUUAUUGUUGUUGAAAAACAUAUGUACAGUGAGACAAACGAUGACCGCAUCGAAGGCGAAUCCUUCAGAGAUGAUAGUUUAUAUCUACGUCCUUUUUGUACAAUAGAGUACAGAAUACAUCCUGUGUGCAACUAAUGCAGAGUAUAUUCAAGCUGCCAGCACACUGUGAAGUGAAGAACCCUUUCCAGAGAAAUAUAGAAAGAAAUGAAUGUACCGCACGCCAAGAACAUUCUCCUGGAGAUGUUGAGAAAGGACGGAAGGAAUGUCUGAGGAGGAUGUACUCAAAAAAUACACCUGCUGGAGGGGACCCGGCUACACCUUUCCUACCAUACACCUGAUGGAUACUGACUGUAAAAUGGCAAUCAUAGUCCGAGGGCUCAGUGUGGUGACAGAAGAUGGAACAGAUGUGUGUCAGUGCACCAGUCUUGAUGAAGCCUUCAUAACAGCCUUGUGGAUGUAUUCUGCUUUCAACAUUGCAUAUACACCACACCUGAGAAAGACACUGACUUUCCUUCAGAAGCACAUUCUCAACAUUAGAAGAUGGAGACAAGCACUGUCAGUAAUUUUACUCUGAAUGAUUUGCCUCUUGUAUUACAUCCUCAUGCCUUGACUGUACCAUUGCCCAAAGUGCACUCGAAGGACAUUCACUCUUUGGAAGUUAAUCCAACAUGUUGGAGUGGUACAUGCACUGUUAAGCUAACUGAGACUUGUUAUAGCUCAUAUAUAAUUGCUCUUUUUGUUGUAUUUGAUUGCUUCAACUCUGUCCUCGAUUGUAAGUCGAUUUGAAUAAAAGCGUCUGCUAAAUGAAUAAAUGUAAAUGUAAAUAUUAGUAUAAGCUGUUGUAUAGAUGAAUGCCAGUCAACUUUUUUUCUGAUUCCAUUCUUUUAGAAACCAUGCACAGGAAGCAUAUGUACUUUUGUUACUCAGUGAAGAGUCAGUAGUACAGUUGUAUAAUAAUAUAAUGGAGAAGGGUCUGGCUGCAGACGUGGACUCUCAGACACUUGCACUUCUG